rnacentral:lncRNA from 1 species
GAGGAGGGACUUCUUUUCGGACGAUCUGUGAGAGCAAAGCAGACAAGAUGUAGGCAGGGGACUGAUAGUUCUGGUGGCGGAAUCCACCACUGGAAGAUUUCGAACAUAGAAUAGUUGAUGAAUUUAGGAUGAUAGAGUCCGUGCCCAGCGAUUGUGUGAUCUGUUGAUUCUAAACUAAGAUUGUCGGGUGUAUUCCAUUCUGCAACGAUUCAACUGAGCGCCAGUGAAAGGAUUUUCAUGACUUUUCCCAGUUAUUUUCGUUAUACUUAAUUCCUCAGUAUUAACCACUCUCUGGGACUUCGGAGGAGCCAUCUUCUGCCUGAUUGUGACACCUGCCCCGUGAUUCCUCCUUCUGUCCAUUCCAACCCAGCAGGUCCAGAGUUUUCACAGACAUAUACUUGCUAGACAUCAUUAAUGCAAGCAGCUCACCAUGCUCUGACCACUCAGUAUGAGGAGUAUAAAGUCCUUUCAUAUCUGCUAUCACCCAGAAAGACUGCAGUUAUUUCCCGUUAAUCUCUAUCAAGAGCAAACCUGUUUCCGAAGCACAUUCUCAACCUGGCUCCUUGCUCCUCAGGGUUAUUCUCUCGUUCUGGCUGAAAUGUCAUUGUCUUGCGGGUAGUCUUGAUGUCUUUUUGCACAAAUGUGAAUUUUCCCUUCCUGAGUAUCACGUAAUUUUGAUUGUAUUUCACCAGCUCCACUGGAUGCGGGACUAUUUUUCAAAAUUAAAGUGACCAACACUGGAGAUAAAGUAGUUGGGAUUAAACCUGAAGGCUUAUUUCACCACACUAAAGGAAAGAAAGACCACUGUAUUGUGUCUUACGAAGGCCAUGGUAGGAGGAUGGAGUGUCUGCUGAUCUAUAUGAACAAGGAGCGGCUGGAAAACCAGAAACGUAACUUCUGGAAGUUGGAGCUAUCCAUCUGGCUUACUUACUGAGAACUGUAGGCACCCGCACUGCAAGCAUUAUUUAUAUACUAAGUAAUGCAUUUAAGAUUUAUGAGGAAUGAGAAGUCACACCACACCUAGAAGGGUGUGAACACGGAAUGCCUGCACUCAGGGAGAGAUCUGCGUCAGCUGUAUUUUUGAUCAAAAGUUGUUCCCAUAGUGACAACACUCUCCCCCUUAUCAGUAUUUCUUCUUGUUACUUGGUUACCAAAAUAUGAAAUGAAUACUGAAUGCAGGUCAUGAGCAUGAGAGCGAAUAUAAAGCUAACUAGUUAUCUAGGUCUAACUCUGUCAUGAUUUUUCUUUAUAUUUUUGGUGGUGGUUAAAUACAUAAAUAUAUUCAGUGGUCUAAGUAUAGAACCCAAUAUGAAGCCCACAGCCUCCAAAUGCCUAUUGUAACUUCCCAGAAGUUCACUGAGGUAUACAAACCUUAGGUCUAAUAAAUUCACUGUGUAAUUUUUUUAUUUACAUAAUUGUUAAAAUAAAAUUUAUUAAAAUGUA